AGUCGUGUGGUCUAAUGGUUAUGAUUUCUCGUUCACAUCAAGUUGAACACUUCAAGUUACCGAGAAGGUUCCCGGUUCGAUCCCGGGCACGACUA